rnacentral:lncRNA from 1 species
AGGACCCUCCAUUGAGUCUGUUUUCCUUCUCUCCCGUCCAGAACCAGCCAUGUCCUGAAAUCUGUCCCCAAACCAGGGCCGCCUACCCAAGACUGCAGGGGCUGCAUCUCCACUGCCUACGACCUCCUCCUCCCGGGCCAUGCAUGUCACUGGAGACACAAGAGUCCGGGACAUGAAAACCCUGGAAACUAAACCGCCCUUCCUGAGUAAACCAUGACUACAGGCAUGAAGUUUCCAGUCGAUGGGCACUUGGGCUGUUUUCAAGCUUUUGCCAUUAAAAACUGCUGCUAUAACCAUGAGUGCACAUAUAUCGCUGUGUUGAUUUUUUUUUGAUCCAUGUUUAACGGGCUUUGGCACAGAACAAGUGGACUUCGGAAAAAAAGCAUUCAUGCUAUUUUGAGCCUUCCUGCGUGGACCCCAGAGGCCAGCACUGUCCACAGACUGUGCCCCCACCCUGGCUCGCACCUGGCUCUGUGAACACAGACUGCAGAAUGGGAAAGGGCAGGAGACACCAAUCCCUGCCAAGACUUGAGCUGCCGUGCUUCUGCCUCAGGAAACAGGCGAGGCUGAGAGGAAGCCCCCGCAGGUGUCUGCAUGUGAGCAUCCCCGCCAACCAGGGAAAACAACAGUUCCAACAUGAGGCGCUGCCUGGCACUUGACCAGCUGCCUGGAAAGCCUGCUUAUAAAGCCUGCUAUAUAACCUCCCUGCUUCCAAACUCAGAAUGACCCUGGGCCAGUCUGGUACAGCUCCAGUUAGUUUGCCUAUUUAUACUUCUAAUAUUUUCAAAAGAAACCCAAAGCCUAAAUAAUUAAAGAAAGAGCAAAAUAAAAGAC